rnacentral:rRNA from 1 species
CCUACGGGAGGCAGCAGUGGGGAAUCUUGCGCAAUGGGCGAAAGCCUGACGCAGCCAUGCCGCGUGAAUGAUGAAGGUCUUAGGAUUGUAAAAUUCUUUCACCGGGGACGAUAAUGACGGUACCCGGAGAAGAAGCCCCGGCUAACUUCGUGCCAGCAGCCGCGGUAAUACGAAGGGGGCUAGCGUUGCUCGGAAUUACUGGGCGUAAAGGGAGCGUAGGCGGAUAGUUUAGUCAGAGGUGAAAGCCCAGGGCUCAACCUUGGAAUUGCCCUUGAUACUGGCUAUCUUGAGUACGGAAGAGGUAUGUGGAACUCCGAGUGUAGAGGUGAAAUUCGUAGAUAUUCGGAAGAACACCAGUGGCGAAGGCGACAUACUGGUCCGUUACUGACGCUGAGGCUCGAAAGCGUGGGGAGCAAACAGGAUUAGAUACCCUGGUAGUCCACGCUGUAAACGAUGAGUGCUAGUUGUCGGCAUGCAUGCAUGUCGGUGACGCAGCUACGCAUUAAGACACCUCCGCCGUCGGGGAGGUACGGUCGGCGAAGAAUUAAAACUAACAAUAGAAGUUAGUACGGCGUGAGACGUCGCCGACGGACGACGACGAGGGAGGUUAGG